UACGUAGGGGGCAAGGCGUUGUCCGGAUUUAUUGGGCGUAAAGAGCGUGUAGGCGGCCAGGUAGGUCUGCUGUGAAAACUCGAGGCUUAACCUCGAGAUGUCGGCGGAAACCAUCUGGCUAGAGUCCGGAAGAGGAGAAUGGAAUUCCCGGUGUAGCGGUGAAAUGCGCAGAUAUCGGGAAGAACACCCGUGGCGAAGGCGGUUCUCUGGGACGGUACUGACGCUGAGACGCGAAAGCGUGGGGAGCGAACAGG
rnacentral:rRNA from 1 species